UUCGCAAUGCCCGAAAGGGUGACGAAGCGACGCCGCGUGUGGGAAGAAGGCCUUCGGGUUGUAAACCACUGUCGGGAGUUAAGAAGUGCAAGGAUAUGAAUAGUGUCUUUGCUUGACUAAGGCUCCGGAGGAAGCCACGGCUAACUCUGUGCCAGCAGCCGCGGUAAUACAGAGGCGGCAAGCGUUGUUCGGAAUUACUGGGCGUAAAGAGCACGUAGGCGGCUAUGUAAGUCGGUUGUGAAAGUCUUCCGCUCAACGGAAGAACAGCAUCCGAUACUACAUGGCUUGAGUGCGGGAGGGGAGAGUGGAACUUCUGGUGGAGCGGUGAAAUGCGUAGAUAUCAGAAGGAACGCCGGCGGCGAAAGCGGCUCUCUGGCCCAUAACUGACGCUGGGUGUGCGAAAGCUAGGGGAGCAAACGGGAUUAGAUACCCCGGUAGUCCUAGCCGUAAACGAUGGGCACUAAGUAGAGGGGUUUU
rnacentral:rRNA from 1 species